GCAGAGCAUCCCUCGGGAGGCAGCAGUGGGGAAUAUUGCACAAUGGGCGCAAGCCUGAUGCAGCCAUGCCGCGUGUAUGAAGAAGGCCUUCGGGUUGUAAAGUACUUUCAGCAGUGAGGAAGGUGGGUAUGUUAAUAGCAUAUUCAUUUGACGUUUAGCUGCAGAAGAAGCACCGGCUAACUCCGUGCCAGCAGCCGCGGUAAUACGGAGGGUGCGAGCGUUAAUCGGAAUUACUGGGCGUAAAGCGCAUGCAGGUGGUUUGUUAAGUCAGAUGUGAAAGCCCGGGGCUCAACCUCGGAAUUGCAUUUGAAACUGGCAAACUAGAGUACUGUAGAGGGGGUAGAAUUUCAGGUGUAGCGGUGAAAUGCGUAGAGAUCUGAAGGAAUACCGGUGGCGAAGGCGGCCCCCUGGACAGAUACUGACACUCAGAUGCGAAAGCGUGGGGAGCAAACAGGAUUAGAUACCCUGGUAG
rnacentral:rRNA from 1 species